GACGAACCGUGCGAACGUUGUUCGGAAUCACUGGGCUUAAAGGGCGCGUAGGCGGUCUGACAAGUCUGGGGUGAAAUGCCGCGGCUCAACCGUGGAACUGCCUCAGAUACUGUCGGCCUCGAGGAAGGUAGGGGCAUGCGGAACUGUAGGUGGAGCGGUGAAAUGCGUUGAUAUCUACAGGAACUCCGGUGGCGAAAGCGGCGUGCUGGACCUUUUCUGACGCUGAGGCGCGAAAGCUAGGGGAGCAAACGGG
rnacentral:rRNA from 1 species